CCAAUAGCGUAUAUUAAAGUUGUUGCAGUUAAAAAGCUCGUAGUUGAAUUUCGGAAUCAGUACGCUGGUCGUGCCUUUGGUAUGUACUGGUGUCACUGAUUUCUCCCUUCUGAAGAACCGUUAUGCCAUUUAUUUGGUGUGGCGGGGAAUCAGGACUGUUACUUUGAAAAAAUUAGAGGGUUUAAAGCAGGCUCGCGCUUGAAUACAUUAGCAUGGAAUAAUGAAAUAGGACGUUUGAUCUUAUUUUGUUGGUUUCUAGGAUCGACGUAAUGAUUAAUAGGGAUAGUUGGGGGCAUUAGUAUUCAAUUGUCAGAGGUGAAAUUCUUGGAUUUAUUGAAGACUAACUACUGCGAAAGCAUUUGCCAAGGAUGUUUUCAUUAAUCAAGAACGAAAGUUAGGGGAUCGAAGACGAUCAGAUACCGUCGUAGUCUUAACCAUAAACUAUGCCGACUAGGGAUCGGAUGAUGUUAAUUUUUUAAUGACUCAUUCGGCGCCUUACG
rnacentral:rRNA from 1 species